rnacentral:rRNA from 1 species
GGGUUGUGAGGUUAAGCGAACAAGCGUACACGGUGGAUGCCCUGGCAGUCAGAGGCGAUGAAGGACGUGCUAAUCUGCGAAAAGCGCCGGUAAGGUGAUAUGAACCGUUAUAACCGGCGAUGUCCGAAUGGGGAAACCCGGUGCACUUCGGUGCAUCAUCGUUAGCUGAAUACAUAGGCUAACGAGGCGAACCGGGGGAACUGAAACAUCUAAGUACCCCGAGGAAAAGAAAUCAACCGAGAUUCCCCCAGUAGCGGCGAGCGAACGGGGAACAGCCCAGAGCCUGAAUCAGCUUGUGUGUCAGUGGAACGGUCUGGAAAGGCCGGCGAUACAGGGUGACAGCCCCGUACACGAAGGCACACAGGCUGUGAGCUCGAUGAGUAGGGCGGGACACGUGAUAUCCUGUCUGAAGAUGGGGGGACCAUCCUCCAAGGCUAAAUACUCCUGACUGACCGAUAGUGAACCAGUACCGUGAGGGAAAGGCGAAAAGAACCCCGGCGAGGGGAGUGAAACAGAACCUGAAACCGUGUACGUACAAGCAGUGGGAGCCUUCGUAAGAGGGUGACUGCGUACCUUUUGUAUAAUGGGUCAGCGACUUAUAUUCUGUAGCAAGGUUAACCGUAUAGGGGAGCCGAAGGGAAACCGAGUCUUAAUUGGGCGUUAAGUUGCAGGGUAUAGACCCGAAACCCGGUGAUCUAGCCAUGGGCAGGUUGAAGGUUGGGUAACACUAACUGGAGGACCGAACCGACUAAUGUUGAAAAAUUAGCGGAUGACCUGUGGCUGGGGGUGAAAGGCCAAUCAAACCGGGAGAUAGCUGGUUCUCCCCGAAAGCUAUUUAGGUAGCGCCUCGUGAACUCAUCUCCGGGGGUAGAGCACUGUUUCGGCUAGGGGGCCAUCCCGGCUUACCAACCCGAUGCAAACUGCGAAUACCGGAGAAUGUUAUCACGGGAGACACACGGCGGGUGCUAACGUCCGUCGUGAAGAGGGAAACAACCCAGACCGCCAGCUAAGGUCCCAAAGUCAUGGUUAAGUGGGAAACGAUGUGGGAAGGCCCAGACAGCCAGGAUGUUGGCUUAGAAGCAGCCAUCAUUUAAAGAAAGCGUAAUAGCUCACUGGUCGAGUCGGCCUGCGCGGAAGAUGUAACGGGGCUAAACCAUGCACCGAAGCUGCGGCAGCGACACUAUGUGUUGUUGGGUAGGGGAGCGUUCUGUAAGCCUG